rnacentral:lncRNA from 1 species
GCUGACGGGCGGGACCUGGAUCAUAAGGGAGACUUGAGGGCCUCUAAGUAAUGGGCUGAUAUCAUGGGCUUGGCCCCAGACCGGGGUGGAGAAAUCCAGCGGUCAUCAAUUGCCCCUUUACCUUCUCGUCAGUUAUUGUCUGGCUGAUGAGGGGGUAAAUACCGAGAGUAAUAAUGACCGCGCAGCCUAAAGGACAAGUCUACUCAGAACAUCUCCUCGUCUCAUCACUG